rnacentral:rRNA from 1 species
GGCUGCAACUCGCCUACAUGAAGUUGGAAUCGCUAGUAAUCGCGAAUCAGAAUGUCGCGGUGAAUACGUUCCCGGGUCUUGUACACACCGCCCGUCACACCACGAGAGUUUACAACACCCGAAGUCAGUGGCCUAACCGCAAGGAGGGAGCUGCCUAAGGUGGGGUAGAUGAUUGGGGUGAAGUCGUAACAAGGUACC